UCGGGAAUUUUGGGCAAUGGGGGAAACCCUGACCCAGCAACGCCGCGUGAAGGAUGAAGUAUUUCGGUAUGUAAACUUCGAAAGAAUAGGAAGAAUAAAUGACGGUACUAUUUAUAAGGUCCGGCUAACUACGUGCCAGCAGCCGCGGUAAUACGUAGGGACCAAGCGUUGUUCGGAUUUACUGGGCGUAAAGGGCGCGUAGGCGGCAUGACAAGUCACUUGUGAAAUCUCUGGGCUUAACCCAGAACGGCCAAGUGAUACUGUCGCGCUAGAGUGCAGAAGGGGCAAUCGGAAUUCUUGGUGUAGCGGUGAAAUGCGUAGAUAUCAAGAGGAACACCGGUGGCGAAGGCGGCAUCCUGGACCGGCAUUGACGCUGAGGAGCGAAAGCCAGGGGAGCAAACGGGAUUAGAUACCCGCGUAGUCCCUGAGCGGGCUGGCAAGGCGCAU
rnacentral:rRNA from 1 species